UGCAUUCACUACUGUAAGUUGCUCUGGAUAAGAGUGCCUGCUAAAUGACUAAAA
rfam:Salmo salar isolate Sally breed double haploid chromosome ssa29, whole genome shotgun sequence.